rnacentral:rRNA from 1 species
UACGAAGGGGGCAAGCGUUGUCCGGAAUCAUUGGGCGUAAAGCGCGCGUAGGCGGCCCGGUAAGUCCGUUGUGAAAGUCAAAGGCUCAACCUUUGAACGCCGAUGGAUACUGCCGGGCUAGAGUCCGGAAGAGGCGAGUGGAACUCCUGGUGUAGCGGUGGAAUGCGCAGAUAUCAGGAAGAACACCCGUGGCGAAGGCGGCUCUCUGGGACGGUACUGACGCUGAGACGCGAAAGCGUGGGGAGCGAACAGG